ACUGCUGCUUUAGAUCUGAGGAGCGGGAAAACACCUCACCUUCAUCAUCACCAUCACCAUCAGCAGCAGCGGAAGGCUCGAGGAAAGCGAGAGGAGAAAGGCAGAAAGUUACCUGAGUGCGUCUCUGCUCCGAUGCAAAACGCAGGCGGCGGGAAGCUGAGCAAAUAUUGACGGGUGAGCUUUAAAGCGGCGGACUCGUCAGACAGGCCCCUGUCUGUGUGCCGGAGCCGCUCCGCUUCCUAAUCGGUUCUAGAUCUUUCGAGGUAAAUCUGAGCUGGUCUGGAGUUUGUCGCGAGUCGGCCUGCAGGUCGGCCUUUCGCAGAGCGCUCCAGAGAACGGAGGUGACUGCAUGCAGCAGAACGCGACCGCAGCAUCCUGUUUGUGAAUCUGCAAGCUGCGUGAUGCGACAGGAAGAGCCACGGGGGCCUGAAGGAGAUCAACAGAACCUCGUUUCUCUACUGUACCUGAGCGUCACGGGCCAAUCGGGGCAGGCCACAUGAGACGUGACCAGCGGAGGAGAGCAACGGAGAGCGGGUCAAACGUUCGGAUUGAAGGAAACCGGCGAAAACUAAAAUGGCAUUUUUGCGUUUCCGCGAGCGUGAAGCAGCGCGGCUGUUUUGAAUAGGUUUCGCUCAUGAAAACGUUAAGAGCCAAACGUUCACCCUCCCGAAGAACCCUCACGAUUGGUUUCCAAAAUUAAAAAAUUACUUGAAUGUCACACGAACGUUCCAUUUUUAUCAUUUUCCAAACAUCAGAACGUUACAUUUCAUCGGAACGAGCGGUUACGUUUAAAAAAUACUGUAAAUAAACUAUGUGCUAAAGUCUUAAGCAGCACAGGUAUAUCUGUAGCAAUAGCUGAAAUUGUAGAUUUUACAUUAGAAUAUUAAGAUAUUUUGUAGUUCUACCGUAAAUAUAUCAAAAGUUGAUUUUAGAUCCGUGGUAUGCGUUGCUAAGAACGACUCUGAAGGAGAUUUUUCCAGACUUUCUAAUAGUUGCACAUCUAUGUUUCAUUCAGCUUUCAUUUGAUGUAUAAAUCUAAUUUCCCGAAAACUGAUGGUUAAAGACCUUCAGGGUCACAAAUAUUAUUUUUGAGAGCCUUAGUACAGACCGUGCAGCUUUAAACAAGCGUUCUAUUAAAUAUUACUAGAUGAAUGUCGUAAAAAUAGCGAGGAACGCCUUUUACAUUCCAAACCCGAAUAACCGAAAUAACUCUCAAAACUAAAAUGUUUAGAUGCAAGUAAUGGGUUUUGUUUUCUUUUCUUUAUUGUGGGCCGGGGACAGAAACGGUUGCAAGCGAAGGAGAGUUGAGAAGCUCUGGAAUUCCCGCUCAAGUUCUCACUGGUUCGAUCAGAACGAGAGACGUUCAUCGUGGCAUGCGAACACACGCUGGAUAAUGUAGUGAAACGAGAAUGUAUGCCUGCGAGGCACGCAAAUACACACUGGAUUCUUCUCUCUGGGUGUGUGACGCUGUCCGAGGAUAUCCAGACUCAGGCUAUUGAUUUAAGCUAGAGCGCUACUCUAGUACUAAAUAUUCUUUGAGCGCUGGCGAACCGUUCUGUAGACUUUAGAUGCAAUGAUUGAAUGUCUUUUUUCUUGUAGACUAGUCUAUAAGUGCUUGAGGAAACAAACAACAGCACACUCUUUUUGGUUCCACAAAGAACCGUCUCUUUCUUAUCUUACUCUAAUCUGAAGAACCUUCUCGCGCCACAAAGAAGCGAAACAGAAAGAUUCUUUAUGGAACCGUUGUUCUUCUGUGGCGUCUAGACCUCCUUCAACCCUGUUUAAAACACAAGUCUGAUUGGUUUAUGCCCUUCCGUGCCUCACAGCCCUCUUCAUUUCUCCUUUACAGGUUCUAGAGAAGGUCCGCAGAACGCGGCGCGUCGAUGUCGGCCUGGUUUCUGGGUGGAGUGCGUGUGCACGGCCGAGAAGCCUUGUGUUAAGAGGAAACUCAUUUGCCAGUCAAACGGGGAAGAAAAUAGCUAUUCUGCAAAGAUCGUGAGCCCAGCCGAGUGAAAAAAAGCAGCCGAAACGCCAGAUUCAUUGAGUCUGCACUCAGGUUUGAAAGGUUAACAGAUCAAACGCUGUUAGAAGCACUUUUACGUUUGUGAGGAGCAUGUGCGUGACGUGAAGAAUCAGCCAAUCAGAGCGUAAUACACCGCAGAUAAAGAUUUCCGGUACGAUUCUUAAAGACAUUUUCUCGAUUAAGACAAUGACUUCAGACAUUAAGUCUUUUUACUUCAUUAGCGUCACGUUGAGUCUCUAAUUGUUUUUUGUGCUUAAAAGUCUUGUUUUAAAUGUAAAGCACUUAGUUUUGAUGCAUUUUGCUAAAAACGUAAUAUUUCAUGCCGUUGUUCUACUCGAGUGAACGUUUCUUGAUUUAUAAUUUUUUUUAUCUGAAUGUUUUUACUGAAAAAAGUCCAAGCUGUUGGUUUAAUUAAAGCGGUGCACUGUUCUCUGAA